rnacentral:rRNA from 1 species
CGGCGAGUGAAGCGGGAAGAGCUCAAGCUUAAAAUCUCCGUGCAAGUUUUGUGCGGCGAAUUGUAGUCUAUAGAGGCGUGGUCAGCGUGGGCGCUUGGGGCAAGUUCCUUGGAAGAGGACAGCAUGGAGGGUGAUACUCCCGUUCAUCCCUGAGUGGCUCGUGCGUACGACCCGUUUUCUUUGAGUCGCGUUGUUUGGGAAUGCAGCGCAAAGUAGGUGGUAAAUUCCAUCUAAAGCUAAAUAUUGGUGCGAGACCGAUAGCGAACAAGUACCGUGAGGGAAAGAUGAAAAGAACUUUGAAAAGAGAGUUAAAGAGUACCUGAAACUGCUGAAAGGGAACCGAAUCGUUUCCAGUGUCUAUAAUCUGUGGCAUAUUUCAUUGGCGAGCGUUUGCGUGCGUGUGCUGUGGCAGUGGCUUUUUUGGCUGCGCCUGGUGUGUGUGGUGUGAGUGUUUGCUGGUGCCCUGUGCUGCGGUGGGACGUCAAGGUCAGUUCGUAUGCUGCGGGAAAUGGCUGCCGAGGAGGUAGGGCUUACGCUCCGCGUUUGUCUGUUAUAUCUUGGUGGACGAGUCGUCGCGGUUGGGACUGAGGUGCCUACAACGUGCUUUUGAGUGGGUUUGUGUCUCCGUGUGCGCCGUGUGCGGAUAGCUUGCUAUGSGKGUGUGGUUGUGUGUGGAUUGAUGCGGGCCUUAAC